CAGUAGCCGCGGUAAUACGAAGGGGGCUAGCGUUGCUCGGAAUUACUGGGCGUAAAGGGAGCGUAGGCGGAUCGUUUAGUCAGGGGUGAAAUCCCGGGGCUCAACCUCGGAACUGCCUUUGAUACUGGCGAUCUUGAGUAUGGGAGAGGUGUGUGGAACUCCGAGUGUAGAGGUGAAAUUCGUAGAUAUUCGGAAGAACACCAGUGGCGAAGGCGACACACUGGCCCAUUACUGACGCUGAGGCUCGAAAGCGUGGGGAGCAAACGGGAUUAGAUACCCCGGUAGUCCCUGUCUCUUAUAC
rnacentral:rRNA from 1 species